UGACGGAAGUUUGAUUACUUAAAUUUGAUCAUGGUUAACAAGUUGGAUUAAAAUGAUGUUAUCUAUUUUUGAUUCAUAUUGUGGGCAAUAAGUAUUUACCCCGGCAAUUAAUCGCUUGUAUAAAGUUUGUUCCAGAAUAAUCGGCUAGGCCAACUAAGCUUGUACUCUAUGUUUGGUUGAAUUAAACCGAUAUAUAACGAUUUUUUAUUUUCUAGGGUAAAAUCAGGAAGACUAAAGUGUUUUAUGUUUAAUUUGUAAGAUUCAGAAAACGAACCAGAUUAGUACCUGGUUAGACGAAAUUAAAGAAAGCAGAAGUAAAGUAGUGUUUAAACUGUAAGGAUAUUGGCAGGCUCUCUAAAUUAUCUUUGGAGGUUGAGUAGUAAUUGAGAACCCACAUUUUCAACUUUUAUUUUGGGCGCAUGUAUGAUCGUUUAUUUUAUUCUUAACGAUUGUAAACAAAAGUUUUUAUUUAAAAAAACAGAUAAAUACCUGGUUUAUAUAAGAGUAUAAAUUUGACCUACAAUAGCCUAGACUUUUGGAUUCGGCGCUGAGAGGUGCUGAUGAAAUUGUAAAAGACAGUAAACUUAUUCUUUAUGGAUAGUUGAAGUUUAUUUAAGAGCGGUACAAAUCAUCCAUCAAUUGCCCACAGGGGAGUAAGUUGUAGUAAAGUAGAUUUAGGGGAACCUGAAUCUA
rnacentral:ncRNA from 1 species